rnacentral:rRNA from 1 species
GAUGAACGCUGGCGGCGUGCCUAAUACAUGCAAGUCGAGCGAACAGAUGAUGAGCUUUCUCCUCUGCCGUUAGCGGCUGACGGGUGAGUAACACGUGGAUCACCUACCUAUUUUACUUGGAUAACUUCGUAAAACCGGUUCUAAUACCGGCUCAUAUAUUCAACCGCAUGAUUCAAUAGUUCAUGACGCUUUUCCUGUCACUUAUAGAUGAAUCCGCGCCGCAUUAGCUAGUUGGUAAGGUAACGGCUUACCAAGGCUACGAUGCGUAGCCGACCUGAGAGGGUGAUCGGCCACACUGGAACUGAGACACGGUCCAGACUCCUACGGGAGGCAGCAGUAGGGAAUAUUGGACAAUGGGCGAAAGCCUGACGGAGCAACGCCGCGUGAGUGAAGAAGGUCUUCGGGUCGUAAAACUCUGUUAUUAGGGAAGAAAAAAAGUGGAAGUAAAUAUGGAUGUUUUGACGGUACCUAAAGAAAAAGCAACGGCUAACUUCGUG